rnacentral:rRNA from 1 species
AUACCAGCACUAAUGCACCGGAUCCCAUCAGAACUCCGCAGUUAAACGUGCUUGGGCGAGGGUAGUACUAGGAUGGGUGACCUCCUGGGAAGUCCUCGUGUUGCACCCCUCGUUUUACUUUU